UACGUAGGGUGCAAGCGUUGUCCGGAAUUAUUGGGCGUAAAGAGCUCGUAGGUGGUUUGUCGCGUUGUUCGUGAAAACUCACAGCUCAACUGUGGGCGUGCGGGCGAUACGGGCAGACUGGAGUACUGCAGGGGAGACUGGAAUUCCUGGUGUAGCGGUGGAAUGCGCAGAUAUCAGGAGGAACACCGGUGGCGAAGGCGGGUCUCUGGGCAACAACUGACGCUGAGGAGCGAAAGCGUGGGGAGCGAACAGG
rnacentral:rRNA from 1 species